UCACGGUUGGUUUGCACCCUGGAGGAAAAUCACGGUUGGCAGAGAUGACUCACCUUGGAGGGUAACUUCGAUGCUUUCCUUGCUUUAGAGAUAACGGCGUGACCACAGUGGAGAAUGCGGCACUGAAGGACGGCAUCGUUCUGGCAUCGAGGGGUUCUGCUUUGGUAGGAUGUGUCGGGCAGACUUCAGCGGAGGAUGCAGACGGCGAGACCACAGCAGAUGAUGCGGACAGGGAGACCAUAGUGGAGGAUUCAAUCGCGAAUUCAGAUUCGGAUUUGCAGCAGUCAGUAAGGGAUUACGAAUUAGUCACGAUGGUGCAGGUAAUUUUCUCGAAUUUGGCGACCAAAUUCGGGAAGAAAAUGUUCAUCUACUUAGUCCAAUAGGUCGUCUGUGUGGUUCAAUUGUGUUCUGGACAGUCUGGAUUUUUGCAGCCAAAGAUCGCUAGUCAAACACGACGGUUGAAUGAAGUGUUGUGCAAUGGACGGGGAUCGAAUCAGACUAAAUUUUGACUCAUUGUUCAAAUUUUGUAAAUUGAAUUCAGGCAGAGACUCACAGAAUUUGAACAAUGAAUCAGUACAAUUUCAGACAGUUCUUUGUUCUCUGUCAAUUGAAGCUGUCUGAAGACAUAACGAGUUUCAACAGUGUGGGAUGCGGUACGAAUGGAUGGGUUAGUUCAACCAUGGGUUCAAACAGAUUAUAGUGUCUGUACUAUUUAGGGUUGAGAAAUUUUAUUAGAUUCCGACUCAGAACUGUUGUCAGAGUCGGUUCAAUAUUUUCGUUUUCGUCCAAGGUCCUUUUGCCCAAUUUCUUCUAAAGAUGAAAUUCAGUAAGCAUAACGUUCGAAUCAUCACUUGCCGGAGAGGAAGUCUCAUAUGUGCUUCGAGACGUCCUUAGAAAACUGGGGUUAUGAUUCAUGAAAGCUGGCGCUGAGGCCCG
rnacentral:lncRNA from 1 species